rnacentral:rRNA from 1 species
UACGUAGGGGGCAAGCGUUGUCCGGAAUUAUUGGGCGUAAAGAGCUCGUAGGCGGUUUGUCGCGUCUGUCGUGAAAGCCCACGGCUUAACCGUGGGUCUGCGGUGGAUACGGGCAGACUAGAGGCAGGUAGGGGAGAAUGGAAUUCCCGGUGUAGCGGUGAAAUGCGCAGAUAUCGGGAGGAACACCGGUGGCGAAGGCGGUUCUCUGGGCCUGUACUGACGCUGAGGAGCGAAAGCGUGGGGAGCGAACAGG